rnacentral:rRNA from 1 species
AACCUUUAGCUAAAAAAAUAUUAAAGGCAACGCCUGCCCAGUGAACAAUUAAACGGCCGCGGUACCCUAACCGUGCAAAGGUAGCAUAAUCAUUUGUCUACUAAUUAUAGACCUGUAUGAAAGGCAAAAUGAGGGUCAAACUGUCUCUUAUAACAAAUCAAUUAAACUGAUCUUCUAGUAAAAAAGCUAGGAUUCCAACAUAAGACCAGAAGACCCUGUGAAGCUUAAACUAAACUAUUAAAACCAAUAAUAGCUACUUUCGGUUGGGGCGACCUUGGAAAAAAAAAGAACUUCCAAAAACCAUUAUAAUAAUAUAAUAUACAGGCCCACGAGCCAAACUACGACCCAGCAAAGCUGAAAAUUGAAACAAGUUACUCCAGGGAUAACAGCGCAAUCUUCUUCAAGAGCCCAUAUCAAAAAGAAGGUUUACGACCUCGAUGUUGGAUCAGGACAUCCUAAUGGUGCAGCAGCUAUUAAGGGUUCGUUUGUUCAACGAUUAACAGUCCU